UAGAUUAUAUUUCUUCUUAACAUUCUUUUUUAGACGGUCGUGCACUGGAAAUAUUUCCUUAGUUCACUUUGAAUUUAACUAAUUUUGGAUCAUCUUUUUGGAUCACCUUGAAAGUGUUGUGCUAACAGAAGGAAUAUUUAAAAUGGAUUAGGCGCUUCACCGACUGCUCAGGCCGUUCUAACAGUUUUCUCCAUUAGAAAGAUGUAAACCUAUCUGACGUAUUAAUGCUGCCACAGCCAUCAGGGUUUUUAGGCUUCCACAUAGUUUCCGCUCACCAAAAUCACUCACAAGACACUGGUCGUCCCGAGGUUUCAAUAGAAGACACUGAACCUAAAAUCACGUUAUUUGGAAAUGAGCUUUUCUUUAUAUUUCGAUUCACACCCAACCCUGUUCAUAUGGGAAAGAAAUGCAAGUCAGAAUUAUGCACUCAGUGGCAACCGCAUACAAAGACGGAAUCCACCGCCGCCGCUCAUAUUGACAACCAAUGCCUGGACAAUCACUGGUCUUGCAAUUAGCCGCUCGGCUGAGUAUAAUACAAUAUGCUACAUCAAA